GGCUCAGUAGCUCAGUUGGUAGAGCAAUGGACUGAAAAUCCAUGUGUCGGCGGUUCGAUUCCGUCCUGAGCCACCA
rnacentral:tRNA from 34 species